AGUCAAUAGAUACCCCGGUAGUCCACGCCGUAAACGAUGAGUACUAGGUGUAGGAGGUAUCGACUCCUUCUGUGCCGCAGUUAAACACAAUAAGUACUCCGCCUGGGAAGUACGGUCGCAAGAUUAAAACUCAAAGGAAUUGACGGGGGCCCGCACAAGCAGCGGAGCAUGUGGUUUAAUUCGAAGCAACGCGAAGAACCUUACCUAGACUUGACAUCUCCUGAAUAGCGCAGAGAUGCGUGAAGCCCUUCGGGGCAGGAAGACAGGUGGUGCAUGGUUGUCGUCAGCUCGUGUCGUGAGAUGUUGGGUUAAAGUCCCGCAACGAGCGCAACCCCUAUUAUUAGUUGCUACCAUUAAGUUGAGCACUCUAAUGAGACUGCCCGGGGUUAACCGGGAGGAAGGCGGGGAUGACGUCAAAUCAUCAUGCCCCUUAUGUCUAGGGCUACACACGUGCUACAAUGGUGAGAACAACGAGAUGCAAUACCGCGAGGUGGAGCAAAACUUGAAAACUCAUCUCAGUUCGGAUUGUAGG
rnacentral:rRNA from 1 species